GACGAACGCUGGCGGCGUGCUUAAUACAUGCAAGUCGAACGGAAAGGCCCUGCUUUUGUGGGGUGCUCGAGUGGCGAACGGGUGAGUAACACGUGAGUAACCUGCCCUUGACUUUGGGAUAACUUCAGGAAACUGGGGCUAAUACCGGAUAGGAGCUCCUGCUGCAUGUGGGGGGUUGGAAAGUUUCGGCGGUUGGGGAUGGACUCGCGGCUUAUCAGCUUGUUGGGGGGGUAGUGGCUUACCAAGGCUUUGACGGGUAGCCUGCCUGAGAGGGUGACCGGCGACAUUGGGACUGCGAUACGGCGCAGACUCCUACGGGAGGCAGCAGUGGGGAAUAUUGCACAAUGGGCGGAAGCCUGAUGCAGAAACGCCGCGUGCGGGAUGACGGCCUUCGGGUUGUAAACCGCUUUCGCAUGUGACGAAGCGUGAGUGACGGUAAUGGGUAAAGAAGCACCGGCUAACUACGUG
rnacentral:rRNA from 1 species